UACAGAGGUCUCGAGCGUUAGGCGGAAUCACUGGGCUUAAAGCGUGUGUAGGUGGAUGCCUAAGUACCUUGUGAAAUCCCACAGCUUAACUGUGGAACUGCUUGGUAUACUGGGUGUCUUGAGUCACUCAGGGGCGAGCGGAACAAAUGGUGGAGCGGUGAAAUGCGUAGAUAUCAUUUGGAACGCCAAUGGUGAAAACAGGUAGCUGGGGCUGUGCUGACACUGAGACACGAAAGCCAGGGGAGCAAACGGG
rnacentral:rRNA from 1 species